UUGGCCGUCAGGCGGAAAAAUAGCACGGCGGCCUGUUCUCUCCUCUACGUACGCACAACAUCACGGGGUCUUCUUCCUGGGGACGGGACGGCACAGCACCGCCGCCAUGAAUCCCGCCUCCACACGCGGCUCGUCUACCUCUCCAGCUACCCUCUAGCAGCGCCGCUGUUGCCCUGUUCCUCCCUUCCUCACCCGCCCAACUCCUCACCCUUGCCUCCUUUUCGUCCAGGCGGACGUCUCCGAUUUGGAUAGGAUUCGAUGGCGUGUUCAUGCCACCACGCGCGGCCGGUCUUCCUCUCCAGCUACCGUCCAGCGGCACCGUCGUUUUCCUGUUCUUCCCCUCCUCACCCGCCCCAACUCCUCACCCCCAGCCUCCUCCGCCUCGAGGCUGACGUCUCCGAUUUGGAUCUUAAGUACUGGCUCCCCGACACCUCCAUCCCCUUCUCUUCCAUGGAUUUGGAUGCUUGCAGAUUUGGAUUGGAGUGCAACUGAGAUGAGGAAGGACAAAUCAUGAACAGCUCAAGUGAGAGCGAAUGGAUAUGAACACCACAACCCUCUCAGGGGAUGUUGGCUGAUCGGGAUACCCAAUACUCAAACAAGCAUGCUGAGAUGCUCUAGAUAUGGAAGUUUACCCCCAAGCUUGACCACCAAGUUUUUUUGGUUCAUGUUCAAUGGGAGGUGAAGAGUGUCGAGCGGUUAUCUGAUGCAGGUCCAAGGUAAACUCUAUUUUGCUUCUUUUAUUGUGUUUAGAUGAACAUGUCAAAGAUGCAGAUGGACAUGAUGAAGCCGUGAAUUGUCACAAAGGUCAUCGAGCUUCUUGGGUUCGACAAACUACCUAACUGCUAUUAACCUAAAUUUAGUUUCAUCUGAACUAAGAGGACCACCUGUGCUUCCUCUAACAGAAUUACUCAUUUGGUGUUCUUUUGCACUGUUUAUUUUUGUUCAAAUUGGUGUGAGUGCGACCUCUUUGUCAAUUUAGAUAAGCCUUUCUGUAUCACAUGGAUGUGACCUAUAGUAUGGUGUAGAAAAGUGAUGAAAGGUAUUCGUUGGAAUUAAUUUGGCAGCAAUAGUUUAUCAAGUUUUUGCCUAGCUAGCUAUUUCUAGAAUUUCUGCAGUUGUACUUUUCUGCCAUCUCCCUCAUGUAGAUAUAUAUAUAUAUAUACUAGCAGACUAGCAAGUAAAUUAUUUACAUCAAAACUGAGAUGUAUCUAUUUAUGAUGAAGGCAUUUUUUCUUUAUAUUCAGCAGUACCUCUUGCUGCUAUAAAGAAAGUAGGAACAUGGUUGAUAAAUAAUCAGAUUGUUCUGCCCAUUUUUCAUUUCACAAUCCAUUACAACUACUAUGUCCUUGCAAUCAUACCAUUACACAUAAGCUACCCAGAUUUGGAACCCAACCAAAGAACAAUCAAGUUUGAUUCGUGCUGUUAUUGGGCCUUGCUGCGACGCUGAUACUUUUGGGCAAAGUUGUGCAGAAUCUACUCAUGCUUAUAAAACAAGUUUGUUAACAUAUUAAAUAGUCCCACCUUGCUUCUUACAUCUAAUUCUAUCAAGUUAAAAAAACUAAUUCUAUCAAUUUAUAUAUGCCUGUAAGUAUGAGAACUAACAAGCAGCCUGAGAAUAGUAUUGUAUUUAGUUUUCUGGAAGGAUGCAAAAGUAAUAUUGGGUUUCCUGUGUAUACUGAUUGCUAAAGGAUGCAAUAGUAUUUGUAUGCUGGGGAAGUGUCAUUCCCUCUGUUUACUGAUGGGCCUCACCCUCUUAAGAGAUCUAACCCUUGUCACUGUCAGGAAAAAAGCAAAGAGUAUUAUGACGCCAUAAAGUUUGAAUUCAGAUAAGUAUAUGCUGAAGAACACCAGAAUUAGUCUUCAUGAACCAGCGUCGCCUUGUUGAUGAUGCUUCACAUAGCGCUCACAAAUUAAACAACCUAUGAAAUUGCCAGAAGGGACCAGAUAUCCUUCUUGUAUGUGCAGAGGAAUUUCGGACAGGCUUCGUCAAUUCAGUAAAGGCUUAUGUAGAAACAUCUAUGACUUCACUGGAGAGUGGAUUUGCAUUCGAGGAGCAGCUUGAGCAGCUUUGCGCACAUGCCUAGACCUACUUUCAUGUCGGUGCUGUUGACAUGUGUUGUUCUAUGUCAGUCUUUACCUCUAGCGUGUGAUAUAAUCCAUUUUCAAACUUUUUCUAAUAGAUGUUCAUUGAACUUAUUGUCAUAUAAAAGCGCAUGUACAUUCUCAGCAAAAACAAGAAAGUGUGUGUGCCCGACCUUCUCCCAGUCCGACCUUGACCAGGAAGCACGUCAAACAAAAACGCCAAUCUUUAGACCAGCAUUAAGCCCCUAGAAAUAGUCUAUCACGUGUAUCUUUGCAUAUCACUGAGAUGGAGCCAGAAGAUAGUUUUUUAUCAGUUUAUAUCAUUGUUGUGUAGAGAUAGAAAUAUUCAGAUUAGCAAACAUUUAGCUUAAGGUGGGACUGGUACCCAAUUACUCUUGGUCUCACUAUUUGAUAUUUUUGCUGGACACUUUA